UUCGGUGCGUGCUGCUGUCCCCAGGUCUUCCCAAGUCACUGUGCACAAGUUAAUCCAGGGCCAUGAAACCUCGCCCAGCUUGUUGGGAGAGAAAAUUCAGCUAGGCUGCCUUAUCUUGCAGUCGCGCAUGUUGGAAGGUGGCUGGCUGGUUCAGCAAAGACCUGGUGAUCUGAUCGCAUGCGGGAGCCACUGAUGCCCUCUUGAGACAGGGAUAACGAAUGGCUCAAAAUACAGCUCUGCAUUUCCCAGCAGGACCCAUCCCGCUGCAGCUCCCUUGCAGAAUACACUUAGCACUUGUUUGCAUUGCUUUGCAUUUGCAUCUUUUAUCUCUUGCCAGCGGAGACCAAGGGGAUGGUACAGCCUGGUGUCCUGCGCAGCCCAGGCCAGGGGAACGUGGCACAGACUCCUGCCACGCACCCGAUGGCUCACAGCUGAGCCGCUGCCGGAUUUCCAGGCAGAGGGUCUGCCUGGGCUGAUGGGGCUGAGUCCUGCAUGGAGGAGCCCUCCCUGUCCUAGAAAAGCUACUCUGGAAGAGCAGGAGGACUCCAGCAGCUUGUCUGGGAUGCCUCAACUAGGGGUGGCUUAAUUGUCUUGGAUAAAUUCAUGAGAUCAUAAAAACAAAUGAAGAUGGGAAGUGCUCAUGCUAAGCCCUUGUUGCCAAUGGGAUGCAAGGCAGACACACUUGGAACUGGCCUGAGCGGAUUAAGCUCAGAAUCCAGAGGAACUGCAGAGGCAGGAGGGCCCCUACCUUGGCCGGAAAAAACAUGCCCUCAAAAGAUGUCGAGAGCAAGCCUCCCAGCUCUGCAGUGUUAUCUGGGGGUGCAUUGUACCCCUCCAAGCCUGCUGAGGGCUGGCGAGCUGCGGCACGGGUCCCACAUGUUUGCCAUGUGACAUUGGCAUGGUCCCUCCAUCGUCCCUGUGGCUUGGUCCCUCGCACGUCCCUGGAGGAGCUGAGUUGCUCUCGUCUCUAUCGGAGGUUUGCAGCAUGCUCCCGUGUCCUCAGGGAAAGCCUGGCUGUUCUCUUGUGUGCCCUUGGGAGAGGAGGACGGAAGAACUGGGGCCGGUCUGGACCUCUCUGCCCAUCCAUAUGCCCACCAAAGAGGUGGUCAGAGGAGUUUUAAGAGCUGCUCUGUUACUUUAGAUGAAGAUGGGGGAUGCGAGUCCCUGAUCUGCAGCCAGAAGCACAGAUCCGAUUGUGGCACCCUGAUCUCACCUCCUUUUUCUCACACAGCAGCAAGUGCUUGCUGUGCCUGGGGUGCUGGGAUGGGUCAGUCCCCGCGUGGGUCCCCAGCAGCCCUGUUUACACCUGGGGGUACCAGCAGCAGUGGGGUUUCAAUGCCUGGAUGCGGUGUAGGAGAGGUCUCGAGGAGCUUGAUUUGUGGAGCUGGAGGGGAGAAGUCAAAUCCACCAGCUGGGGGAAUUCAGGCCAACAACUCUGCCAUUGCAUUUCCAGGGCUGCGUUGUGCUGUGCUGCUUCUCCAGCCACAGAAGAGCUUGGGAUGCACCGCAGCGUUCUUGCUGGUGGGGACAUGAAAUAACCAGGCUGUGCUUGCAAGUGCUGAAUAACCAGGUCUGUCUCAUGGCACUGACCUAAUGCCUUGCGCUUCCCCAAAAGCCAGCUCUUAGUUUUAAGCCUGGGCAAGAGCAAUCUGCACAGUGUGACUUAAAAAAAGGGGUGAAGAUUUCACCUUUGGUUUUGGUGAUGCCCUCGGAGAGUGUUGCAGGAGUCAAUGCAAGGCUUGUGCCCCACACAUGAGGGGCUGCAGAAGGAGGUGUGAAGCAGAGACACGUGGCCAAGCUGUCAAGCACCUGAGUACCCCUUAGUUACCCAAAAACAUCCGCCUGGGUGAAAGUGUGGGGCGGAUGCAUCCUCCUGGGGCAAGGCAACAGAGAGGGCAACGCCUCGCUUGCUGGAGAGGCCGUGUCAAUGCUGUGAGCUGGUGGCAGCUUUGCUGAGACAUUCACCGUCGCGAAUCAGGUGCUGCUGUGGUGAAGCUGCCCUUCCUGAGGAAGGCAUUUGGUUUGCAGACCGCUGGGGCGGCUGCAGAGCCGGCCUUAUAACCUUCAGAUAGGCUAAGUGUAGUAAGUUAAUGAUUAGAUUUAUCAUAAAGCAAUCUAAUGAGAAGCAAUAUAGCCAAGCACUUUCCAUUCAGUGAUGCACAUCCAAAUCUUAAUAGAAGCUGACAGCCUGACCCUGUUACCAUCUCUGGCCAAAUAAAAUCAUCCUGAUAGUUCCCUGGAGAAAGCAGCCACGACUUUAAUAUGUCUUCUCAAAACAUUUAUCUGAUCAGCUUUAAAAACAAAACAAAACAAAAAAACCCAAAACCCCUGCAGUGAUUCAGAGCUGCUUUACAUGACCUCCCCUCGUGCUUGCUUCCCCAGCAUCUCUGCAGUGCAGGGGAGCCAAGGUAAUACAGAUCGAAAAGCCUCCGCCUGCCCCUUGGCCUGGGACCGCAUGGCAGUGCUCGCUGCAGGACGGCUCGACCCAGCGAGGAGAGCUCUGGCAGCAUCCCCAGUCCUCUCCAGGCUGUGCUCUCAGGUACCUGGAGUCUGUGUGUUAAUGUACCGUAAGUAUUAAUAGGGAAGCUGCAAUAGUUGAAGGUAUUCGGGGGCUUUUACUGGCAUAUUAUUUCUUUGCAGGUAACAUUUUACAGCACCAGCUCUUCCAGGGCCAAGCCUCUGCUCUAAACCUUUCCCCUGUGUUCUCCCUUUGCAGUUUAAAAGGGAAACAACAUGUGUUUUAUUACAAGUUCCCAGUGCAAGUCUCUGUCCCUCUCACCAACUGUACUUUUAUUAGAAAAAUCUGGGUAUGUCUUGGGAUCUCAGAAACCAUUGCACCUCAAACAAAAGAUCAAAACCUUGAUAUAAAAUGGGACUGGGAAGAAGGGUUGGUCUUUCCAAGCCCAAGUUUUAUCCUGACUGACACUGUGUAUUCCUAUCUUCACGUGUUUUCACACCACCUCUACUGCUGUUUUUGAUAAUCAACCACGCUACUGCUGUAGACCCAUUUAUUGCAUCAACUGCAGUAAAAGGAAGGACUGAAUCAGGCCAUGACCUUGGGCCACACCUGAUGGUGCUAUCCAGAGAGGCUGGGACAUGGGCUGGAGCUGCAGGUGCCCUUACACCCAAGCCCAGCACCUGGAUAGAACGCUGGCUGCAGCCCCUUGCAGGGCAGAUGUAGAGAUGAGGAGCCAAGAUCUUCCCAGCAAUGGUAUGGGGAUUUGGGGGCACGGGUCAGGCUGGGUACAAGGAAAAUCUUCCAGGAGCAGCUGGAAGGAACAAGUCCUGAUACCCAUCCUUGUGGUGGGAGUGCUGGUUGCCACUGUUACUAGCAAAGGAUUCUUCUGACUCAGCCAGGGUGGCAUCAGGUGGUACCAGGAACCUCACGGAAAGCUGCAAGAAGUGCUCCAGCCUGCAUCCACGCUGUUCCUAGAACCUGUUCCCAGAAAAGGUGGUCUCUCUUUGGGAAGUCUUCUCCAGUGUGGUGCUUCAUGGGCAAAACAGCCCGAGUGAUUUUUGGUGCUUGCAUGUGGUUCACUCAGCAGGCUUUCCCCAUUUGUAUGGAGUUUAUUUUUUGGUAUGAAUAAUAGAAAUACCCAGGGUCAGCUCAGCAUCUGUUUGAUCCCACAAGUCCCUGCCCUUGGCCACAUCAAAUGACAUUGCGUUCCCCAAGGCGAAUUGUGUGAAAAGAUGCUUUUUUUUCAUCACUUCUGGAUUUACUGUCUCUUCGUUUCUGCUGAAUGCCCUGUUGUUUGCAGAGUGUGAAUACAAGCUCUGUCCCUGGGACUGGGAUGGCCCCAACUGUUGGGCACCAGAGGACCUCAAAGACGUAUUUUCUUGAAUGCACUGAUUUUCAGAAGAGCCCUCCAAGGCAGGGCAAUUACUCUGGCUUUGUGCAACAACCUUGAUCCAGGAGAUGGCCCAAGAGGAAGAUGAAGACAGAGGCACAGAGAAGACCCACUUGGAAGGGGGAGGGAAGCCAGCCAGCUCUAGCAGGAAGAGCUCUGAACCCUUCUUUGUGUUGCUGGACUUGCGUAGUGGUGACCCUGUCCUUCCUCUGCCCUCGCGUGAGUGCAAGUCCUGUGAAAGUGCCUGGGAACCAGUGGGAGAGCAGGGACUGGGGAUGAUGGGGCUGGUAUUAUGCUCAUUCCCUCCUCAGCCUUUUCCUCCUCUGCUCUCUCUCCUUUGCUUUUCAUUGUGCUGUAUCUGUUCAUCCAGUUGGAAGCCUGAGCACUCUCUGCUUAUGCUCCUGACCCCGAGGUCUGGCUAUGCUUGCUCGGUGUACCAGGACAGCAGCCCCCAAGAACCCCAGCAGAGCCCUGCAGCAUGGAUGCUCCCUGGGGCACACAGCCUGCUCCAUACACGUCCUGGCCCCAUUCUUUGAUCAGCUCAUGCUUUGGUACAUCCCUGGGGACCACAGUGUCUCCUCAGCUGCUCAGUGCUGCAGAGACGGCUGCCCCAGCUGAGAUGCUCCACCCUGCUCCAGUGCAGCUCUUGCCUGUGCUCACUUCCUUACAGCUUGAAGCAUGCUGUGACCAUGACACUGUCCCUGGGUGCUUAGCAAGGGCUGUGGCAAUUGCCUGGGAGGCUAAAGCAUCCCUGGGCUCUGCAUCCCCCUGUGCUUCUGUUUGGGGGAUGCCUGCACAGGUCGGGAUGCACUGGGGAGGCAACAGGAUGCUCAGUCGAGGGUUUCCAGGAGGAAAUUCCUUCCAGUGCCACUGCUAACUCACCUGAGCAGAAAGGGAAACCUGCCUUCUGGUAAAACAGGAGCAAAGGGCGAUUAAUUGGAGGAGCAACAUAUGGCUGAUGAAUUUUCCAUACCUUGGACUUUAACAGGCACCUGGGCAUCGAGAGGAGAAAUGCUUCAGUCCAGCUAUGAGGAACAGGUUAGUGGUAGGGAGGCUGGGGGACAAGCCAGGGCACUGUGAUGGGGACUCCCUUCCCCAUCCAGGGUCUGGUAGUGCCACCCAGGAACAGCAAUGCCCCCACCAACUGAGCUGGGACUUGCUUCACAAGGACAGCAUCCCUCAUGGUAGUCUGUGGCCAUGUCUAUGUCACCCCCCCCAGAUGGACUGAAAAGUGGCCCCUAAGUAGCUACAGCCAAGCUGAGGAGGAGCGAAGGCAGGGAGCCCCAAGGAGCCGGGGCUGUGCUGCACAGCCUGGCUGCAGCUUUUGCAGGAGCAGAUGCUGGCAGAGAGAUUUAGCUUGGGACAGGACUCGUGCACUGGAGAUGCUGAGCAGGGGGGUGAUGCUGCUGGACACCUUCGUCUCCUCUGGGCCAUGUCUCAGCCCUGCUCUCCUCUUGUUGGAGCUCCAGGACCCAAACCCUUUGAAACUCACGGCUCUGAAUGGAAAGAGCACAGAGGGCAGGGAGCAGGCAACACGCUGCACUGCUCCUCUAUCAGCAUCAGAAGCAAAUGACUUGGUGGCUGUCACACGGCUGAUCUCCCCUUCUUACUGAAGGAGCUGGGGCAAAGAAACCACCAAGUGUCCUCCUAAAAGUGUGGGUUGGGAAGAAGGCAGGCUCUAGUUCAUCUUUCUGGGUAAGCCCUAGCAAAUAGUGUUGUGCCCAAGUGUUGGGACCCCGUGUGGGUCUCUGCUCCGGAAGGUGGGGUUUGUGUUUUUCUAGUUAUCUGCUUGUGAGCUUUUUGUUUGUUUGUUUGGGUUUUUUUUUCCUUAGAAGCAUCCAGGUAAAACUCUUCAAUACUUUUGCUCUUUGGGGAUUUGUUUUGUUUGCUUGAUUUUUCUUUUUUGUCUCGCAGCUCCCUAACACUUUUGUAAUCACAGUAGGAAUCACAUCUUCCUUGUCACAGCUGUAGAGGAAAGCUGAAAGCAACCUGUUCCUCCAUAGUUUGUGCCACAAGGAUCCUGCCAAAAUAGGUCUGACCAAUGUAAUUCAGAGACCAGAUCUCUGUUGCAGUUGACUUCAGCACCUCCAGAACCCUCCCCAAACCAGCCCCCUAUUCCCGUGCUGGAUGGAGGACAGCAGGCACCUGCCGGGGAGUAUCUCAGUGAGAACUGGUCAGCCCCAAAACCAAAGAAACGCGUGGGGCAGGACCUCUCCGUGGCGUGUGAUCCGCCCCACGUACCAGGAGGAGAGCGGAUGGAGUGGUCACUCUUCCCUCCCUAUGUCCUAUCCCCACGCGCUUCUUGCUGUGAGCAAGUUGUCUGAAGGAGCCGAAAUUGUCACCAGGUUUGGAGGUGUUUCUCACCUCUGUGAAAACAAACAGGGCUGAUUUGUUUAAUUGCUUGUCCAUGGGAGCUGCGAGGCUUCACCUGUAUCGGGUGGGAGCUGGGAGUUUUGCCCCAUUUGAUCGUGUGCUCUUUCGCCCUGCUUCAAAGAUCUCUUUGGUUUUCCACUCCCUUUUAUGUCCCAUCUCUUGAAGUCGCACUCCUGCAUGAAGGCACAAACCCAGGACAGCUGAAGGGUUCCAAAUGCAAUUAUUUUGCAGAGCGUUUCAAUAAAUUAGCAGCUCAUUUCUUUGCCAGACAGUACUUACUUUUCAAUUGGCCCAUGUCUGUGCAGCCUGCAGUAUGCGUUGAAUCUUUAGCCUUUGGGAUGUCAGCUUGGGAGGAUGGAGCUCGGCAUGCUUAGCUGUGAUUCAGACUUGGAUGUGACUCUGCACAGGUUUUUGCCCAGUAAAACACCAAUCUGCAAUUUCAUCUCAGUUGGAGAUUUCCACAGUUUGGAUUUCGCAAUGUAAAGACAAGCAGUUCCUUCCAGUGACCUGUCCCUGUGAAAUGGGAAUGCAAAGUACCAGCACCCAGAGCUGCUGCUGGAGAAGAAAGUUUGGCACAAGCAUCUGCACAGAUAUUUUUUUUAAUAGCCUUUUAUUUAUUAAGCUACUUUGGAGUCUGAUUCACUUACUUUGCUUGAUAUUUAUUAGUAUUUCACCUACCCUGAACUGGGAGCUGCAAGCACUUCAAUAAAUGGAUUGCCUUUCCUGGAAUGCUGUCCCAACAUCAGCUAAUCAGUAUCCUCAGCGUGAUUGCCAAAGUACCACUCUUGUAAAUCAAGGAUGGCAAAGAGAGAAACCCCAAGCGCCAGCAGCGCAGGGCUUGCUCGGAGGCAGGAAGGUGGCCCAAGCACCAAUCUCCCCAUCUCCAUGGGGUUCUGUGCUUGGAUAAGGGAUCGCUCCACUUGUCUGAGCUCUCCAUUUAAUUCAGGGCUGUCUUGGUUGUAACUGCACACAGUGCUGCUCUACCCGCUCUACUUUAUUCGUACUGACUGGUAGCAUUGCCUGUUGGCCUGACUCAGAGAUCUGCUGGAGGAGUUGGGCUGUGCUUUGUGCAACUGAAUACCAAUACCUGGUUGCAGCAGGCCAUUGUGAGCCAAAAAGGCAACUCCCUGUCUUUGAUAACGGAAAAAGUGCCAUUAAGCAGCAGACCUGCUUGCUGUAGGAUGUCAUGGGUGCCAAACAGCUACACAGCUUCAAAAAGUGACUUGACAGAUUUGUGGUAGGAAAAUUGCACAGGGGCUGUGAGAAACCGAAAUACGGGCUCUGGUCUGGGAAGUCCCUGGGCUCCUGUAGUCCCCGGUGCUGGGAGCAGCUGCAAAGUGAAUUGCAGGAGGAACGUAUUGCCAUUUCAGGGGUUUUCCACCUCGUGCUGCUGGCGAGCAGGUCUGGGCUUUCUGCAAGAGGCUUUGCUGCAGUUGAAGUAUCACGGCGGUGCCCAGGUGCCUACUGAGCCUGUCUGUGCAUGUAGUGCCUUCAGCCUGCUCCAGCCUCCUCUGCUCACUGCAGAAAGGUCCCUCACCCCUGUCCUAUCACACCCCAGGCUUAGAGGGCUGAGGUGCACAAGGAUCAGGCAGCACUGUCUUUGUAGGAAAGAGCCCAGAAACCCCAGCUAAACGUGACCCUGCUGUCAUUGUAUGAACAGCCUCCCCAGGCUGGGUCAAGGAAGCUUGGGAUGUUUCACCAGGGGCCUUGUGGGUGUGAUCGCAGCUUUUCCUGUAACGCUGAUAAGGAUUCGGCUCAUUCCUCAGCCGGGGAGUCAACCACUUCUCUCCUCUUCCCCCCACCGUCUGCUUUUCACAAAACCGGCAGGAAUCAGGAGCUGCUGAACUUACUGGAGAUGCAUCACUGGGGAUGGCGUGGGGAGUUGCAAAGCAGGCAAGCAGAGCAUGGCUGUUUACCAUGCUUUCUCAGAAACACCCAGGCUCAAGCAGAAAAGGAAGGUGUCUGAGCAGCAUCCUCCAUGCUGAGGUCUGCUGUGGCCCGGGAUGUGUUCCAUUUACGGCAGCCAUUCCCACGCAUCUGCUGAAGAAGCCACCCUCUCCAUCCUCUUGAGGGCAGUGAGGUGGGUACCACUGCCUGCCUGCACCUAGUGCUGGUAGCCCCUUGACUCUGGGGGUCCCAGCUGUCCCCAGCCCUGCUUUCCUCCCUGGGUGUGAGCAACCUCUGGUAGUGGAGUCUCUGGCACUGCCUGGCUGUCCUGGGGAGCAAGCGUUGUCCCUCUGCAUCUGAAACCAUAGGUUAAUGUCUUUCAGCAGGGAGAAAAUAUAAUUUAGCAGCUCAUCAGCUAGCUAACAGCUUGGGAUGCAGACUAUGCAAGACCACUUCUAAUUAUCUGCUUUCCCAUCUUCUUUGUUUGGAGAUGGGUAAGGGGAAAACGUGAUAUUCCCUGAAAAUGUCUGUCUGUGGUAGGGAGAGGUGGCAUUUUUGCAAAGGCGGUUUGGGGAUGCAUCUAUAUUUAAUGUCUAGAUGUUGCUAUGGAGAAGCUGGAUGGAGGCCAUCAGGAAAUAGCACCCAGUUGAAAGAGGACUGUGGCCCCAGGGAGAUGUUGCUGUGGGGCUUCCUGCUCGCCCAGGUGGCUUGUGCUGGACACUGGGGUGGGCUGGACCCCCAGGGCAGGGCCGUCCAUGGAAGUGCAGUGCAGGCUGGUGUCACCUGCCCUGCUGCCCCUUUGGAGGGGAGGGUUGCAGAUGGGGGGACUGAGCAGAGACGACAGGCAGGCAGAGUUGCUGCCAGUGGGGCUGAGCAUGGCAGCAGUGCCCAUAGCGAGACCAGCACUGACAAGGAGCUGUACCCAUGGCUGUCCCCUCUUCGCGGUGAGCUUUUCUUUUUUUAAAAAAAAAAAAAAAAAAAAAUCUCUGUCACUUAACAAAAAUGUUUCAGGCCUUUUGGGUUUUUCCCUGUGAUUAAGUCUGAUAAGAAGAGACAGCGGAGGAUUUAUUAGUAUCUGCUUGCUGAUUUCAGCUUUACUUCUGUUGUGACAGAAGAUCUAAUGCUGUUACUCCUGAGCAAGUACUUCAUGCAAUGUGACCACAGCCCUGAUGGCAGAGCAGCGUCCUAACCCUUUCCCAGCUGCCUCUGCUGCACCGGCGUGGCUAAUGAAGUACUGAGUGGGGGGAAAAAAUAAAGCAGCAGCAGAAAUCGGGAUGGAGGAAAAUGUUAUCUGAACCUUGACAGCAUUGCCAUGGUAACGGGGGACCUGCCAGCAAAUGCUGCAGGCUGGCACUGCGGGCAGCAUGGCACUGCGGGCAGCAUGGCACGCUGUUAUCCGGGUUGCAGAGGGCCGGUGGGAUGGGAGGCUGUGAUUUCCCCUGGGGAAGCCAGCGGGAGCCUUGGGAAGGGAGGCAAUGGCAGCCUGAGAGGCAGCUCUGGGAAAUGACAGUCCCUUGGGCAGAGUCUGGACUCCUCUGCCUCUCCUCCUGUCUUGCUUUGCAUCUGCACUGCUGCGCUUGCAAGGAGCCAAAGCCUCGGCCGCAGCCCCAGCGCUGCUUCCAGUCCAGCCUCGCAGUGCGGCUGCCUUUCUACUCAGCUGCCGCUCAACCGCAAAGGCCACAACUAGUGAGGUUAGUCAUGCUGGUGGGAAGCAGUGAUUCCCCUUUGUGAAAAAAACACUAAGGCUUGGGCUAUGUUUUAAUUCCCCCAAGGAGUGAAACCCAGACCUUCACGCAUUGCUCAUCCAAACCAAAAAAAAAAAUCCACUGGCCCGCAACAUCUGCUGGGCAAGCACCCGCAGCAUUCGUCCCAGCCAGAGGCGUUUCCAUCCCUGGCCGAAGCAGCUCCUGAUCAUCCUGACCCCCUUCCCCAGCUGCCUGCCUGCCAGGCUUUGCUUGAAGACAGAGACAGGCAGAGGAGACCCUGUCCCAGAGGGGCCACCCAGCCCCCCGAUUCUUGCCCUGCUGAUGGCUGUGGCCAGGCUUCAGCUCUGAAUGCAGCUCCAGAGGUCUUCAGCUUGCUCCAGCACCCUGUUGCCUUCCUGAGGCCAAACUGCUCUGUGGUGUGAGAGAGGGACAGCAUAAAUUGGGUCCCUCAGGAUGGGAGCAUGUUUGGCUGGAGGUAUCUCCAGGGACGGGGCAGCGGUGUUGGCUAAGAACAACCUUGCUGCACCCCGUGGGCCAGGAGCAAGGCUGCAAGCAGCAACUGAUUUAACGAUGCUGUGCUAUAAUUACUGGCAGCGCAUUUGCCCCCAGCCCUGCUGUGCUGUAGAGGGAGAAAGCGCCCUUCCAACCGCUGCCGUCAGCCUCUCGCAUGCCUGUGGGGUGGGGGUGCUCUCUUUACAGCCAUGUGAGAGGCAAUGUAGGAAAGACUAAGUAAAAAUAAACCAGGGUAAAAAUA